rnacentral:rRNA from 1 species
AAACUUAAAGGAAUUGACGGGACCGCACAAGCGGUGGAUGAUGUGGUUAAUUCGAUGCAACGCGAAAACCUUACCACCUUUGACAUGUACGGAAGCCUUUAGAGAUAGAGGCGUGCUCGAAAGAGAGCCGUAACACAGGUGCUGCAUGGCUGUCGUCAGCUCGUGUCGUGAGAUGUUGGGUUAAGUCCCGCAACGAGCGCAACCCUUGUCAUUAGUUGCUACAUUCAGUUGGGCACUCUAAUGAGACUGCCGGUGACAAGCCGGAGGAAGGUGGGGAUGACGUCAAGUCCUCAUGGCCCUUAUAGGUGGGGCUACACACGUCAUACAAUGGCUGGUACAAAGGGUUGCCAACCCGCGAGGGGGAGCUAAUCCCAUAAAGCCAGUCGUAGUCCGGAUCGUAGUCUGCAACUCGACUACGUGAAGUCGGAAUCGCUAGUAAUCGUGGAUCAGAAUGUCACGGUGAAUACGUUCCCGGGUCUU